AGAGUUUGAUCAUGGCUCAGGAUGAACGCUAGCGGCAGGCUUAAUACAUGCAAGUCGUGGGGCAGCACAGGUAGCAAUACUGGGUGGCGACCGGCAAACGGGUGCGGAACACGUACGCAACCUUCCUUUAAGCGGGGAAUAGCCCAGGGAAACUUGGAUUAAUACCCCAUAAUAAUACAAUUGGGUGGCAUCACCUGAUUAUUAAAGCUCCGGCACUUAAAGAUGGGCGUGCGGCUGAUUAGGUAGUUGGCGGGGUAACGGCCCACCAAGCCGACGAUCAGUAACUGGUGUGAGAGCACGACCAGUCACACGGGCACUGAGACACGGGCCCGACUCCUACGGGAGGCAGCAGUAAGGAAUAUUGGUCAAUGGACGCAAGUCUGAACCAGCCAUGCCGCGUGGAGGAUGAAGGCCCUCUGGGUUGUAAACUUCUUUUAUUGGGGAAGAAACCGGUUUUUUCUAAAGCCGUUGACGGUACCCGAUGAAUAAGCACCGGCUAACUCCGUGCCAGCAGCCGCGGUAAUACGGAGGGUGCAAGCGUUAUCCGGAUUCACUGGGUUUAAAGGGUGCGUAGGUGGGCAGGUAAGUCAGUGGUGAAAUCUCCGGGCUUAACCCGGAAACUGCCGUUGAUACUAUCUGUCUUGAAUGUAGUGGAGGUGAGCGGAAUAUGUCAUGUAGCGGUGAAAUGCUUAGAUAUGACAUAGAACACCCAUUGCGAAGGCAGCUCGCUACACUAUUAUUGACACUGAGGCACGAAAGCGUGGGGAUCAAACAGGAUUAGAUACCCUGGUAGUCCACGCCCUAAACGAUGGAUACUCGACAUCAGCGAUACACUGUUGGUGUCUGAGCGGAAGCAUUAAGUAUCCCACCUGGGAAGUACGACCGCAAGGUUGAAACUCAAAGGAAUUGACGGGGUUCCGCACAAGCGGUGGAGCAUGUGGUUUAAUU
rnacentral:rRNA from 1 species